UGUAUGAGAAACUCUUUGAGCACC
rnacentral:piRNA from 1 species